rnacentral:rRNA from 1 species
GGAAGUAAAAGUCGUAACAAGGUCUCCGUAGGUGAACCUGCGGAGGGAUCAUUACACAAAAUAUGCAGGCUUAGGGGCUUUCCCUAGCUGAAUUAUUUCACCCAUGUCUUUUGCGCACUUGUUGUUUCCUGGGCGGGUUCGCCCGCCACCAGGACCCCAAUUAAACCUUUUUGUUAUUGGAAUCAGCGUCAGUAUACAAGUAAUUUAUUACAACUUUCAACAACGGAUCUCUUGGUUCUGGCAUCGAUGAAGAACGCAGCGAAAUGCGAUACGUAGUGUGAAUUGCAGAAUUCAGUGAAUCAUCGAAUCUUUGAACGCACAUUGCGCCCUUUGGUAUUCCAAAGGGCAUGCCUGUUCGAGCGUCAUUUGUACCCUCAAGCUUUGCUUGGUGUUGGGCGUUUGUCUCGGUGAGACUCGCCUUAAAACGAUUGGCAGCCGGCCUACUGGUUCGGAGCGCAGCACAUUUUUUGCGCUUGGUAACUCAGAUUGGGUCGGCAUCCAUCAAGCCCAUUUUUCACUUUUGACCUCGGAUCAGGUAGGGAUACCCGCUGAACUUAAGCAUAUCAAUAAGCGGAGGA